rnacentral:rRNA from 1 species
UACGAAGGGGGCUAGCGUUGUUCGGAAUUACUGGGCGUAAAGCGCGCGUAGGCGGCUUUGCAAGUUCGGGUGUGGAAAUCCCCAGGCUUAACCUGGGAACUGCAUUUGUGACUGCAUAGCGUAGAGUACGGUAGAGGGGGAUGGAAUUCCGCGUGUAGCAGUGAAAUGCGUAGAUAUGCGGAGGAACACCGAUGGCGAAGG